GAUGAACGCUGGCGGCGUGCCUAAUACAUGCAAGUCGAGCGAACAGACGAGGAGCUUGCUCCUCUGACGUUAGCGGCGGACGGGUGAGUAACACGUGGAUAACCUACCUAUAAGACUGGGAUAACUUCGGGAAACCGGAGCUAAUACCGGAUAAUAUAUUGAACCGCAUGGUUCAAUAGUGAAAGACGGUUUUGCUGUCACUUAUAGAUGGAUCCGCGCCGCAUUAGCUAGUUGGUAAGGUAACGGCUUACCAAGGCAACGAUGCGUAGCCGACCUGAGAGGGUGAUCGGCCACACUGGAACUGAGACACGGUCCAGACUCCUACGGGAGGCAGCAGUAGGGAAUCUUCCGCAGUGGGCGAAAGCCUGACGAAGCAACGCCGCGUGAGUGAUGAAGGUCUUCGGAUCGUAAAACUCUGUUAUUAGGGAAGAACAAAUGUGUAAGUAACUAUGCACGUCUUGACGGUACCUAAGCAGAAAGCCACGGCUAACUACGU
rnacentral:rRNA from 1 species